UUAGCAGCACGGCUGAAACAAUGGCACAGCACAGACACAUGUUUUCAUUAAGGUCAUUUUUGAAGAGAUGCUUAUGACCCUCUUGCCCCAAUCCUCUACUAACAAGUGAACAAAAUGAAUCAAUCAAAACUGGAAAUGCUGCAACUACAUCAAGAAUUUAUCCAAUCUUUAGCGGAGGACUCACACAGGCUAAUUCACUAUUUACAACUGACAACAUGAAGAAGGCAACUGGCUGAGCUUCUUCAGGCUGAUGGUACCACAAACUGCAAGACAUUCUUGCAACACAUGAUUUUAAGACAUUAAGGGGUUAAAGACCAGGCAAUGUAGCUACAUGACUGCUGGAGUUUAACAGAUUGCUGCGUAUCCUAAGACAUGCUACACAGAAUAACCACAAAAAGGAAAACUUACAACUGUGAAAGCCUGAAAACAAAAUGG